rnacentral:rRNA from 1 species
UACGGGGGGGGUAAGCGUUGUUCGGAAUUACUGGGCGUAAAGGGCUCGUAGGCGGCCAACUAAGUCAGACGUGAAAUCCCUCAGCUUAACUGGGGAACUGCGUCUGAUACUGGAUGGCUUGGAUUUGGGAGAGGGAUGCGGAAUUCCAGGUGUAGCGGUGAAAUGCGUAGAUAUCUGGAGGAACACCGGUGGCGAAGGCGGCAUCCUGGACCAAUAUUGACGCUGAGGAGCGAAAGCGUGGGGAGCGAACAGG